UACGAAGGGGGCUAGCGUUGUUCGGAAUUACUGGGCGUAAAGCGCGCGCAGGUGGUCUUUCAAGUCAGUGGUGAAAGCCCGGAGCUCAACUCCGGAAAUGCCAUUGAAACUGUAAGACUUGAGGAUGAGAGAGGUGAGUGGAAUUCCGAGUGUAGAGGUGAAAUUCGUAGAUAUUCGGAAGAACACCAGUGGCGAAGGCGGCUCACUGGACCGGUAUUGACGCUGAGGUGCGAAAGCGUGGGGAGCAAACAGG
rnacentral:rRNA from 1 species